UGAAGACAUUCGCAAGAUAUGGAUUAAAAAACGUACACCGAAAGGACUUUGCCCCCAAACAAGUAUUCAAUGGUGUGUGGAGUACACUUCCCUGACGGCAGACCAACGCAGGAACACCCAUAUCCCAUAAUAUGGGAUAUGAAUAUAGUAAAGCACCAUCAUGUGGAAGACCACCCACAAAGAGGAGAUGUCUCCAGCCCCCAACAGAGAGACCAUGUGAUGAGCCUCCUGUGACAAAUUCUGAUACCGAAGUAGGGCAUAGCUUGGAGGAUAGUCUGUCUCCACACCAAUGUGAUGUUGGCACUCAGUGGCCAGAGCGUAGUGAUCAUGAUUAUUGUUCGAUGAAGUCAACAAAAGAUGCAAGCACACAAACAGAUCCUACACCAUCACUGUCAGCUCAUGACAUGGAUGAUAAAGUGUCAAAAUUUUACAUUGGACUAGACAUCAUCAGCUUUUGGCAACUUUUGAACACCAUCAUUGGCUUUCUUCCACAGUCGAAGACGUUCAAAUUAACAGUCCAUGAACAGCUACUGCUGGUCCUAAUGAGGCUUCGGCUUGGCUUAAUGUUCACAGAUUUGGGAUCAGCAGAACUACAGCCUGUGAUAUGUUCGCAAUGUGGAGAGCAACACUUUCCCAAGGGAAAAUCUUUUUUUUGGCUCCCUCGAGACACUCUGAAUAGAGUAAGACCCUCAAGUUUUCUUGAACACUAUCCCAAUGCAACAUGCAUCAUAGAUUGCACUGAAAUAUUUGUCCAAAGACCGAAGAACUUGGGGAAAAGAGCAAAAACAUACAGCAACUAUAAGCAUCACAACACCUGCAAAGUCCUCUAUUGCAUAGCCCCCCAAUGGUUUUGUGAUGUAUUGUGUCAAAACUGUUUGGUGCCAGAGCUAGUGACAUUUUUAUCACAAAAAACUGUGGAUUUCUGUCACAUUUGAUUUUUGGUGAUCAGAUUUUGACAGACCGGGGAUUCACAAUUGGAGAUGUUCUUCCUCCAGGAGUGACAUUGGCUAUUCCAGCACUUACACGUGGAUGUACACAACUAUCAGAACAUGAAGUCACAAGAAUUGUACUGUAUUUUUUUGCAUUGUACUGUAGGCCUACAUCAAACUCAACCCCAGAGCACACAUUCAGAAGUUGCUGAAACUCAACAGUGCCGGGGGACAUGGGCCUAAUAACCAGAUCAUCAAAUGGUUGAAAACGGUGCAUGUGUUUUAUUGUCUGUGUCUAAAUCUCGUCAUACAUCCAGUGUGUUUUGUUUUUUUUAACAGACGUGUUUUCACAAUGACACUCUGAGAAUUUACUUUUGAACAAAGUGUCUUGUGUAUAAAAUGGUGUGCAGACAGCCGGAGUGUGUGUGUUGCGUAAAGGAGCAAGUGCUUUGCAAAGAUACCAGCUGAAAGUGUAAUGCUUGACUUUUGAUUAAGGUCAAGGUGGCCUAAGGUGCUGGGGGAAACUCUCUCUCUAGGCUAGGCCUAAUCAGAAAGCAAGGUGUG